rnacentral:tRNA from 1 species
UUAAUUGAAACCAAAAAGAGGUAUAUCACUGUUAAUGAUAAAAAUGAGGCUAACUCCAAUUAAA